UACGUAGGGUGCAAGCGUUAAUCGGAAUUACUGGGCGUAAAGCGUGCGCAGGCGGUUUUGUAAGUCUGUCGUGAAAUCCCCGGGCUCAACCUGGGAAUUGCGAUGGAGACUGCAAAGCUAGAAUCUGGCAGAGGGUGGUGGAAUUGCCGGUGUAGUGGUGAAAUGCGUAGAGAUCGGCAGGAACACCCAGGGCGAAAGCAGCCACCUGGGCAUCAACUGACGCGUGAUGGACGAAAGCGUGGGGAGCGAACCGG
rnacentral:rRNA from 1 species